CGGGGUGUAGCGCAGCCUGGUAGCGCAUCUGGUUUGGGACCAGAGGGUCGAAGGUUCGAAUCCUUUCACCCCGACCA
rnacentral:tRNA from 4 species